AACUUAACACUAUGGAGGAGACAAGAUGUUAGACAAAAGGAACUAAAAGAAAAGGAUCAAGAUUCAUUACAACAUACAGAUGUUAUUUCUUAUAUCAUACUUAAAGAAACUGAAUAUAAACUAAGAGGUGC